ACUCACGCUGGCGGCGUGCUUUACACAUGCCAGUCGCACGGAAAGGCCCUGCUUUUGUGGGGUGCUCGAGUGGCGAACGGGUGAGUAACACGUGAGUAACCUGCCCUUGACUUUGGGAUAACUUCAGGAAACUGGGGCUAAUACCGGAUAGGAGCUCCUGCUGCAUGGUGGGGGUUGGAAAGUUUCGGCGGUUGGGGAUGGACUCGCGGCUUAUCAGCUUGUUGGUGGGGUAGUGGCUUACCAAGGCUUUGACGGGUAGCCGGCCUGAGAGGGUGACCAGCCACAAUGGGACUGAGAUACGGACCAGACUCCUACGGGAGGCAGAGGUGGGGAAUAUUGCACAGUGGGCGGAAGCCUGAUGCAGCAACGCCGCGUGCGGGAUGACGGCCUUCGGGUUGUAAACCGCUUUCGCCUGUGACGAAGCGUGAGUGACGGUAAUGGGUAAAGAAGCACCGGCUAACUACGUG
rnacentral:rRNA from 1 species